rnacentral:rRNA from 1 species
UGGGGAAUAUUGGACAAUGGGCGAAAGCCUGAUCCAGCAAUGCCGCGUGAGUGAUGAAGGCCCUAGGGUUGUAAAGCUCUUUUACCAGGGAUGAUAAUGACAGUACCUGGAGAAUAAGCUCCGGCUAACUCCGUGCCAGCAGCCGCGGUAAUACGGAGGGAGCUAGCGUUGUUCGGAUAUACUGGGCGUAAAGCGCACGUAGGCGGCGCCGUAAGUCAGGGGUGAAAUCCCGGAGCUCAACUCCGGAACUGCCCUUGAAACUGCAGUGCUAGAAUUCUGGAGAGGCGAGUGGAAUUCCGAGUGUAGAGGUGAAAUUCGUAGAUAUUCGGAAGAACACCAGUGGCGAAGGCGACUCGCUGGACAGACAUUGACGCUGAGGUGCGAAAGCGUGGGGAGCAAACA